rnacentral:rRNA from 1 species
CGGCACGCUUAACACAUGCAAGUCGAACGGUGUCGGAGGUGCUUGCAUCUCCUGAUCAGUGGCGGACGGGUGAGUAACACGUGAGCAACCUGCCUUUAAGAGGUUUAUAACGUUCGGAAACGAACGCUAAUACCGCAUAAUAUAAAGGAUUCGCAUGUUUCCUUUAUCAAAGAUUUAUCGCUUAAAGAUGGGCUCGCGUCUGAUUAGCUAGUUGGUGAGGUAACGGCUCACCAAGGCGACGAUCAGUAGCCGGACUGAGAGGUUGAACGGCCACAUUGGGACUGAGACACGGCCCAGACUCCUACGGGAGGCAGCAGUGGGGAAUAUUGCACAAUGGGCGCAAGCCUGAUGCAGCGAUGCCGCGUGAGGGAAGAAGGUUUUCGGAUUGUAAACCUCUGUCUUCAGGGACGAUAAUGACGGUACCUGAGGAGGAAGCUCCGGCUAACUACGUGCCAGCAGCCGCGGUAAUACGUAGGGAGCGAGCGUUGUCCGGAAUUACUGGGUGUAAAGGGAGUGUAGGCGGGAUGGUAAGUUAGGUGUGAAAACUAUGGGCUCAACCCAUAGACUGCACUUUAAAAACUGCUGUUCUUGAGUGAAGUAGAGGCAAGCGGGAAUUCCUAGUGUAGCGGUGAAAUGCGUAGAUAUUAGGAGGAACAUCAGUGGCGAAGGCGGCUUGCUGGGGCUUUUACUGACGCUGAGGCUCGAAAGCGUGGGGAGCAAACAGGAUUAGAUACCCUGGUAGUCCACGCCGUAAACGAUGAUUACUAGGUGUGGGGGGGGCUGACCCCCUUCCGUGCCGCAGUUAACACAAUAAGUAAUCCACCUGGGGAGUACGUUCGCAAGAAUGAAACUCAAAGGAAUUGACGGGGGCCCGCACAAGCAGCGGAGCAUGUGGUUUAAUUCGAAGCAACGCGAAGAACCUUACCUAGACUUGACAUCUCCUGAAUUACUCUUAAUCGAGGAAGUCCCUUCGGGGACAGGAAGACAGGUGGUGCAUGGUUGUCGUCAGCUCGUGUCGUGAGAUGUUGGGUUAAGUCCCGCAACGAGCGCAACCCUUAUUGUUAGUUGCUACCAUUAAGUUGAGCACUCUAGCAAGACUGCCGUGGUUAACGCGGAGGAAGGUGGGGAUGACGUCAAAUCAUCAUGCCCCUUAUGUCUAGGGCUACACACGUGCUACAAUGGUGAGUACAAAGAGACGCAAAACCGCGAGGUGGAGCAAAACUCAAAAACUCAUCCCAGUUCGGAUUGUAGGCUGCAACUCGCCUACAUGAAGUUGGAGUUGCUAGUAAUCGCGAAUCAGAAUGUCGCGGUGAAUACGUUCCCGGGCCUUG